UGGCUCUUGAUGAAUAUUUGCCAACGGUAAAAUAUAAAUCAUCAUCGCGCGCAAAUGAAAUAUGGCGGGAGAAGAAAACGUUUGAGAAGUUAUUCGCGCUCACAAAAAUAUUAUUUAAUAAGGGUACGGCAUAUAUAUUGGCAUUCGCGGAUGGAGGUCAACGUAUUUUUGAGAGAAGACAAUUAAUCUUCGUAAUCUUUGGAAGGAUCGAGCUGUAAAUCUCUUUACAUGAUGAUGCGUCUUUUGGAACGACUCCGUUGACAAUAACAACCUCGAGGAAAAAUGGGAGAAAACAUCGAACCAGAUCGCAUGUAAAAACGGAGGUAUCCUCCCCCUGUGCGGAAGUAGACGAGCGCUUAACGCCGAUGCGAUACGCGCGUCGCGACGUCCGGCCACCGACUGUCGGCUGUACGUCGACGGGACGUCGACGCGAUACCCGAAGACGUCCGAGGACGACCGACGCAACGCCUCCGACGUAUCGGCAUAUAUGCGCCACUGUUGGAAAUUCACUGCAAUUUCUCCUAUAGGAUAUCUAUAGACGAAUUGCAUGUGUUAAGCUGCAAUUUUGCUGCUGUCAAUCCUCAUCUUGUCACUUUGAC